CUUAGUGUUUAGGUUGUUGGA
rnacentral:siRNA from 1 species